rnacentral:lncRNA from 1 species
ACACACGGCUGGAGAACAUGACAUGGAGGAUCUGGAUCCUGGCAAAUAAGAAGGAGAUGAGCUCUUUCUCUUGGAUCGUAACCUCCUUGUAUGAGAUUUUAUUGGGUUUGGUUUGUGUGAAUUAUGUACGUCAAUGCACAGGAAGGAUUUCAAGCCCAUGAUUUGUGGUUCUUGUUCUUUCCAAAUUGCCAUGAUUUUAACAAAAAAAUUGGUGUAGAUUCUAAUUUCUGUUGUAAGUGCAUGCCAUUUUUGGUUUUACAUGUUUAUUUAUAGCUUACAUCUCUUACUGAAAUUUGCAGGAUGAGAACUGAAGCAUGGAUCUGUACUAUGCUAUCUGGAUUUGUGACCUUAUUCAUGGAAACAGUGAAAAUAGCGAGUACCGGUCAUUAUUUGGUCCCAGUAUGCACAACUUAAUUUAAUUUUCAUUUUGCAAAUUCAAAGGUGGCUGAGGACUGUGAUUUUGUGGACCUACCAGUUCCUAGGAAAUUAAGAUCAUGUACUGAUUGCUGUCUCAUAAAACUAGGAACAUGGACAACUUUGUCCCUUUCUCUUUCCAUCUUUACCUAUUGAUUUGCUGAUUGCAUAGGAGCAUGUGUGGAAAAUGGUUUUCAAAUUUGAUGGCUAACCAAAAAUAUAUUUGUGUGUUUUACAAACUAAUAUACUAAUAUUUUUUAACAACAAAUCUAACUUAACCUGUCUCUGAAUGUAUUAUUGAUGUUAGUGUUUC